UAAAGCAGUACUUCUCACUUCACCAAACACACUGUGCAGACAGAGGAGAGGGGAAAGUGUAGUAAGAUGCUUACCCUGCUCAGUGUCCUCCUGCUUUCAUCACAUGUCCUUCCUCUCGUCCAAUCACAGUCGUGCGAUGACAAAACAGAGUACUUAAAUGACAAAACAUGCUGCACAAAAUGUAAACCAGGAGAGUAUGUGUUAGAGAACUGCAAACAAAAAAUGCCUGUUACUCUGUGUGCCCCAUGUGGAAAUGGCUUCUUCACGGACGACAAUAACAGCAAUUACAACUGGUGCUCUCAUUGUACAACGUGCACCAAAGAACAUAUGAAGUAUGAGAAGAACUGUACGGCGACAAGUGAUGCAGUGUGCACGUGUGUUGAGGGCUACAGAUGCAGAGACAGUAAAUGCCAGGAGUGUGAGAAGAUUCAGACAGCUACUGUUUCUUUUCCUGCUUCUACUAAAACAAUACCGCCCACCCAUGAUAUAAUGUGGAUCUCGGUGAGUCUGUGUUGUGCGUGUGUGUGUGUGUGUGUUCUGCUCACCUGUUUCCUUCUCAUCAGCAGACAUGCACGACAAUAUGGAUGGAUCAUGCCAACAUCAC